rnacentral:lncRNA from 1 species
AUGGCACCUGUGCUUGGCUUAGCCGCAGUGACCGGCCACUUUUUCAAACUUUUCUCCACUAACCCCCUCUUUUCCACCUUGCUCCUGUCUGCUAUCCUCUUCAGUAGUGUCCCUGCUACCAUCUCCUAUGAUCGCCAGACUCUUUUAUCCUUCCGUUCAUUCACGAUCGCCCAAGAUGCUCCGAGGACGUACCUCCCUGUUUGUUUACCUGAGUGGCGCGCCGACCCGGAGCCAAACGACGAUUCCAACCAGGGCGCCUCCAGCGAUGUUUAUCCGGUCCCGGGAAAAAGUUGGAGGAAAAGAGGUAAACGAGCAGGAAUCCAGGUGAGAAUAAGACCUCUCUUAAAGCGUGGUUUAUCUAAUAAACAUCUGCGUGAUCUUCUAGCUUCUUGUCCUUUGUUUGGCGACCUGAGCGCCACUUCCGCAUUCCCGCCAGGCCGCGUUGCUGCACGGUUUCUCCAUUCAAGUUUUUUAAGGUCUGUUUAUCCUCAUUCUUCAGUGGUUUCUCCUCCUGUUCCCUCCAUAAGUGGUUUGUAUAAACACCGUGGAUCUAACCCUGCUAAUUUACGUCCACUAACUCCAGCUGUUUCUGUACUUUCUGAUUCCUCCACCUCACUCAGCAUGGCUUUAUUGAACACCCGCUCUGUUAACAAUAAGUCCUUCCUGCUCAAUGAUCUAAUUCUCUCUAAAAACCUGGAUUUUCUGUUUCUGACUGAAGUUUGGCAGCAAACAUCUGAUUAUUCUGGUCUGGUUGAACUCUGCCCGAGUGGUUAUUCUUUUCUUAGCCAGCCCCGGGGUUCUGGUCGUGGUGGAGGCCUAGCUGUUGUUUUCAGAGACCAUCUUCCAUGUAGCUCUACAACCUCUGAUCACUUUGCUUCCUUUGAACUGCAGCUGAUUAAAGUCGGGUGUAAGAACCCGUUCUACUGUGCUGUGGUCUAUCGUCCACCUGGUCCAAACAGUUCUUUCCUUCAGGAGUUUAGUGACUUUCUAUCCUCCACUGUGAAGCUGUCCAGACUGGUGAUUGUUGGUGACUUUAACAUCCACAUUGAUGAUCCCUCAGACCACUUCGCCAUGAAUUUCUCCAGCCUCAUGGACACCUUCGGCUUUACCCAGCAUGUUUCUGGCCCCACACACACCAGGGGACACACUCUGGACCUUGUUUUUACCCUGGGUCUAAAUGCUGACAGUGUUUGUCCUGAGGAAGUUUAUAUUUCAGAUCACCAUUGCAUUUUCUUAAAUUUUUCCAUUUCUGCGUCCCCACCUCCUGCUUGCCAUCUGGUUAGUUCUCGUUUUCUUAAUGAGAGCACAGCUAGCAUUUUUUCCGCUGCUUUUAAUCCACCCUGUUCUUCUGAUAACGACCUAGACUAA